rnacentral:rRNA from 1 species
GGGCCCGCACAAGCGGUGGAGCAUGUGGUUUAAUUCGAUGCAACGCGAAGAACCUUACCAGGGUUUGACAUCCUGCGAAUCUCUUGGAAACAGGAGAGUGCCUUCGGGAACGCAGUGACAGGUGGUGCAUGGCUGUCGUCAGCUCGUGUCGUGAGAUGUUGGGUAAUCCGCACGAGCGCACCACGUCUUAGUUGCCAGCAUUUAGUUGGGCACUCUAGAGAGACCGCCGGUGAUAAACCGGAGGAAGGUGUGGAUGACGUCAAGUCAUCAUGCCCCUUACAUCCUGGGCUACACACGUACUACAAUGCUACGGACAAAGGGCAGCAAACUCGCGAGAGCUAGCAAAUCCCAUAAACCGUGGCUCAGUUCAGAUCGUAGGCUGCAACUCGCCUACGUGAAGGAGGAAUCGCUAG